rnacentral:misc_RNA from 1 species
CCCUAUUGACUAGCCUAAUAACGUAAAGAAAAAAGCAACAGAUGAGGUAUUUAGCAGAAAAAAGAUAGAUCUUCCCCCCGGAAUUAAUAUUUUCAAAAAAAUAUUAAUAAUUUACCUUUUGGUAGUUCCACUAUCUGCAAUAAAAAAUACAGACUGGUAACUUUGCGUCCAAACCUCACGAUUUGUUUGCCCUUUUACAAAAAUUCAUUUAACAACAUCCCAAACCACAAAGCAAUU